GGCAGGCACAGUGGCACACAACUGUGCCCCCAGCUACUCAGGAGACAGGCUGGAGAGUUGCUUGAGCCCGGGAGUUCAGGGCUGUAGUGCACUGUGUCGAUUGAGUGUUUGCACUAAGUUCAGCAUCAGUAUGGUGACCUUCUGGGAGCUGAGGACCACUAGACUGUCUAAGCGGUGGUGAACUGGCCCAGGUCAGAAAUAGAGCAGGUCGAAACUCCCGUGCUGAUCAGUAGUGGCAUCGUGCCUGUAAAUAGCCACUGCACUCCCGCCUGGGCGACGUGGCCUGUCUUU
ensembl:misc_RNA Metazoa_SRP Metazoan signal recognition particle RNA